CGUGAUUUUUUGGCCCCCCGAGGGCCCUAGGGUUGUUUUCUGACAAGGACCAAUGCGAGUGUGGCCGAAUUCGGCCGAAAACGGCCGAAAAUAGCCAACCCGAGGUGACUCGCCGCCGCCAGCGGCGGCGCCGUCGCCGGAGCACGGCGGAGCCACCGUGCCGGAGUUGCGAUUUGGGCCGAAAGAGGCCCUGGGCCUAAUUUGGAUUUUUUUUGGAACACGUGCAGGUACUGUUAGUGUGUUUCAGUUCCCCGGGAAAAAUUCAGGGAAAAUUAGGGACGGCCUGCAGGCGCACUGUGAAUCGUAUUCGGAUCCCGAAAACAAGUAAGGACCCCUCACCCUAUUUCCUAUCACGGUAUUAAAGUUCAAAAUGAUAAAACGGUAUUUCUUGAAUUAACGAAUGUGUGAAA
rnacentral:lncRNA from 1 species